rnacentral:rRNA from 1 species
UACGUAGGUGGCGAGCGUUGUCCGGAUUUACUGGGCGUAAGGGAGCGUAGGCGGACUUUUAAGUGAGAUGUGAAAUACCCAGGCUCAACUUGGGUGCUGCAUUUCAAACUGGAAGUCUAGAGUGCAGGAGAGGAGAAUGGAAUUCCUAGUGUAGCGGUGAAAUGCGUAGAGAUUAGGAAGAACACCAGUGCGAAGGCGAUUCUCUGGACUGUAACUGACGCUGAGGCUCGAAAGCGUGGGGAGCAAACAGGAUUAGAUA